GUAGCUAAACUAAAGUAGAUGUUUUGAAAACAUCCGAUAGAUAAUUUAACG
rnacentral:tRNA from 1 species